CAGCCGCCGCGGUAAUACGUAGGUGGCAAGCGUUGUCCGGAAUUAUUGGGCGUAAAGCGCGCGCAGGUGGUUUAAUAAGUCUGAUGUGAAAGCCCACGGCACAACCGUGGAGGGUCAUUGGAAACUGUUAAACUUGAGUGCAGGAGAGAAAAGUGGAAUUCCUAGUGUAGCGGUGAAAUGCGUAGAGAUUAGGAGGAACACCAGUGGCGAAGGCGGCUUUUUGGCCUGUAACUGACACUGAGGCGCGAAAGCGUGGGGAGCAAACAGGAUUAGAUACCCCCGUAGUCCCUGUCUCUUAUAC
rnacentral:rRNA from 1 species